rnacentral:antisense_RNA from 1 species
ACUGGGGGAGGAAGGGAGGUGACAGAGUGGAGGAGGUGAAUGGGGAAGGAACCAACACUCCAAGACUGUCUGGAGAGGAGAAAAAGGUCUCUGAGAACUUCCUAGAGCCUCGUGAGGUCAGAACGAUUGUUAUCCCAGUAUACAGAGAAGAAGAAGGCUCAGAGAGGUUCAGCAGGAAGCAGAGUAUGAAUAAAGAGCAGAAUGAUUCUGCCAGAGCUCCUCUCCCUCUGAGCUGGACAGUGAGGACUCCAGGAGCCGAGAGCCUUGUGGAAGUGAGAAGGGGGAGUCUUACUGAGCCAUGGACAUUUGAGCUCUAGGACAGCCCCUACCCUCAGCCUGGGGAUACCCAACAAACGCUUCCAAGCCCUGAGACUCCAUGACUCAGUGGGAGUGUGGAAUUGAGUCUUAUUCUGUUGCCCAGGCUGGAGUGAAGUGGCGCGAUCUCGGCCCACUGCAACCUUCACCUCCCGAGUUCGAGCGAUUCUUGUGCCUCAGCCCCCGGAGUAGCUGGGACAAAAAUCUUUAACUGUGAUUAAAAACACAUAU